rnacentral:rRNA from 1 species
ACAACGGAUCUCUUGGUUCUGGCAUCGAUGAAGAACGCAGCGAAAUGCGAUAAGUAAUGUGAAUUGCAGAAUUCAGUGAAUCAUCGAAUCUUUGAACGCACAUUGCGCCCCCUGGCAUUCCGGGGGGCAUGCCUGUUCGAGCG